UACGUAGGGUGCAAGCGUUAAUCGGAAUUACUGGGCGUAAAGCGUGCGCAGGCGGUUCGCUAAGACAGAUGUGAAAUCCCCGGGCUUAACCUGGGAACUGCAUUUGUGACUGGCGGGCUAGAGUAUGGCAGAGGGGGGUAGAAUUCCACGUGUAGCAGUGAAAUGCGUAGAGAUGUGGAGGAAUACCGAUGGCGAAGGCAGCCCCCUGGGCCAAUACUGACGCUCAUGCACGAAAGCGUGGGGAGAAAACAGG
rnacentral:rRNA from 1 species